rnacentral:rRNA from 1 species
GACCCUACGGGGCGCAGCAGUGGGGAAUAUUGCACAAUGGGGGAAACCCUGAUGCAGCGACGCCGCGUGAGUGAAGAAGUAAUUCGUUAUGUAAAGCUCUAUCAGCAGGGAAGAAAAUGACGGUACCUGAGUAAGAAGCCCCGGCUAACUACGUGCCAGCAGCCGCGGUAAUACGUAGGGGGCAAGCGUUAUCCGGAUUUACUGGGUGUAAAGGGAGCGUAGACGGCAGUGCAAGUCUGGAGUGAAUGGCGGGGG